UUGGGUUAAAUGGGCAUCUGAGCAGAAUGAAUAUCUGGGACUGAAUGCCUAUUUCAAAGGAGACUGGAUCAUGUCUUUGAUUUAUUAUCUGAGUGCGGCAGAGAGUGGAUUUGAAGCAGCACAGUUUAAUGUGGCGUACCUGUGUGAACUCAACUCAGGCUCUUUGGAUCCAGCGCUGGUGACUCAGUGCAUGUUAAGAUAUUAUAACAUGUCGAUACAGACUCAAGAUCCGGCUCCGUACGCUUUGAUCAGAAUGGGAGAUCUGUUCUAUGGUGAACAGGCUUUGGGCAGAAAAGAGGUUUCUGAUGCAGCAGAGAUGUACAAGCAAGCAGCACUCAAGAAAAAAACACAGGUACCCAUGACAACAAAUGAUCAGAAAUCGUAAUUAUUUAAU
ensembl:lncRNA